UGUUUGGCUGUGAAGAGAAUGAGUAGAUUUAAUUAAUGUAUCUAGAGAAGAAGUGGCUGGUGAAAACUUCUUACAUAUUAAAUUGAAGCUGUCUUGGAGCUGAUUUUCUUGAGUGAUGCUAAGAUUUUAGCAUAAUUAGGGUGGUACCGCGGAAGUUAUGUCUUUCGUCCCUUGU
rnacentral:ncRNA from 1 species